CCUACGGGGGGCAGCAGUGGGGAAUAUUGCACAAUGGGGGAAACCCUGAUGCAGCGACGCCGCGUGAGUGAAGAAGUAUUUCGGUAUGUAAAGCUCUAUCAGCAGGGAAGAAAUACUGACCUUACGGUCAGCAGACGGUACCUGACUAAGAAGCCCCGGCUAACUACGUGCCAGCAGCCGCGGUAAUACGUAGGGGGCAAGCGUUAUCCGGAUUUACUGGGUGUAAAGGGAGCGUAGACGGCAGCGCAAGUCUGAAGUGAAAUCCCAUGGCUUAACCAUGGAACUGCUUUGGAAACUGUGCAGCU
rnacentral:rRNA from 1 species